GGGGAUGAUCGGUUUCGACGAUGUGAGUCGCGACAGGUGAAGCGGGCCGAGGAUGCAGAGUUAUCUCGUAAACGCUCUCUGUAAACCAAUAAGUGCCGAAUCUAAGCGCACUGACUUCGCUCUCGCUGCCUAAGUAGCCAGACGGUCCGUCAGCCAGGGGAUGCUAUCGCCCCUGUUCCUGGCGUCAGCUAGAUAGCCACUGCUGGCCACCUGGGUUACCGGGGUGGCCGGGACUUUUAGGUAACUGGGCCCGGAUCAGACACUCGUUUGCAUGAUGUCUGGGGCCGAGAAAAUCCGACGCAAACUGCGCCCGGAGAAGCCCUGGCAACACCACAUCGGACGGGGGUUCAAUUCCCCCCAUCUCCACCA
rnacentral:tmRNA from 1 species